GACGAACGCUGGCGGCGUGCUUAACACAUGCAAGUCGAACGAAGUGGCGAACGGGUGAGUAACGCGUAAUCAACCUGCCCUUCAGAGGGGGACAACAGUUGGAAACGACUGCUAAUACCGCAUACGGAAGGAGGGGCUUGCGUCUGAUUAGCUAAUUGGAGGGGUAACGGCCCACCAAGGCCAUGAUCAGUAGCCGGUCGGAGAGGAUGAAAGGCCACAUUGGGACUGAGACACGGCCAAGACUCCUACGGGAGGCAGCAGUGGGGAAUCUUCCGCAAGGGACGAAAGUCUGACGGAGCAACGCCGCGUGAGUGAUGACGGCCUUCGGGUUGUAAAGCUCUGUUAAUCGGGACGCGGUACCGGAAUAGAAAGCCACGGCUAACUACGUGCCAGCAGCCGCGGUAAUUC
rnacentral:rRNA from 1 species